CCUACGGGAGGCUGCAGUGGGGAAUAUUGCACAAUGGGGGAAACCCUGAUGCAGCGACGCCGCGUGAAGGAAGAAGUAUUUCGGUAUGUAAACUUCUAUCAGCAGGGAAGAAACUGACGGUACCUGACUAAGAAGCACCGGCUAAAUACGUGCCAGCAGCCGCGGUAAUACGUAUGGUGCAAGCGUUAUCCGGAUUUACUGGGUGUAAAGGGAGCGUAGACGGAGAGGCAAGUCUGAAGUGAAAGCCCGGGGCUCAACCCCGGGACUGCUUUGGAAACUGCAGUUCUAGAGUGCCGGAGAGGUAAGCGGAAUUCCUAGUGUAGCGGUGAAAUGCGUAGAUAUUAGGAGGAACACCAGUGGCGAAGGCGGCUUACUGGACGGUGACUGACGUUGAGGCUCGAAAGCGUGGGGAGCAAACAGGAUUAGAUACCCCAGUAGUC
rnacentral:rRNA from 1 species